rnacentral:lncRNA from 1 species
GCUUCUUGUUUUUUCGUUUUUUAUUUCUGAUUUCACUUCUCUUUUUUUUUUAAUUCCAUUUCAUUUCAAAAAAUCCUUUCUCCUUCAUUAUUGGUCCAAAAAAUGUGAGACCAAUUGCAUUUUUCUCCUUUUAAAUUCUAGUUUUUGAAAAUGAUUUUUAAUAUUUUUUAUCUUAUCAUUUGAUAUUUUUUUUAUGAAUUUUCUCUUUUCUGGUUAUU